UUCGAGGUCUCUUGUUUGUCAUCCUCAUGUAAGCUUUACUUCUUAUAUUUCAUAAUGGUAUUAUGCUUUAUUUUCGGAUCAGGAUCAUCUUUUGAACUUUCGUUCUCGAUCAAUCUUUCUGUUAUAAUACCUAAAACAUCAAAAUAAAAACCCUUCCCCGACUUUUGGGUUAAGGACUCAUCAAAAGCAACAUGAAUUGACUCUUAUACAUAAGAAUAUAUAUUAUUGUAAACCCUAUAGGCUUUAGUCAUAGAUGAGCACC
rnacentral:lncRNA from 1 species